rnacentral:rRNA from 1 species
AGCGGCGGACGGGUGAGUAACGCGUGGAUAACCUGCCUCGCACAGGGGGAUAACAGUUAGAAAUGACUGCUAAUACCGCAUAAGCGCACAGUACCGCAUGGUAUAGUGUGAAAAACUCCGGUGGUGUGGGAUGGAUCCGCGUCUGAUUAGCUAGUUGGUGUGGUAAAGGCAUACCAAGGCGACGAUCAGUAGCCGGACUGAGAGGUUGAACGGCCACAUUGGGACUGAGAUACGGCCCAGACUCCUACGGGAGGCAGCAGUCGGGAAUAUUGCGCAAUGGAGGAAACUCUGACGCAGUGACGCCGCGUAUGGGAAGAAGGUUUUCGGAUUGUAAACCAUUUUAGACAAGGAAGAAACAAGACAGUACUUGUAGAAUAAGCUCCGGCUAACUACGUGCCAGCAGCCGCGGUAAUACGUAGGGAGCAAGCGUUAUCCGGAUUUAUUGGGUGUAAAGGGUGCGUAGACGGGAAGGUAAGUUAGUUGUGAAAUCCCUCGGCUCAACUGAGGAACUGCGACUAAAACUGCUUUUCUUGAGUGCUGGAGAGGAAAGUGGAAUUCCUAGUGUAGCGGUGAAAUGCGUAGAUAUUAGGAGGAACACCAGUGGCGAAGGCG